rnacentral:rRNA from 2 species
AUCAUUCGCAGAGUGUAAAGGCACAAGGGAGCUUGACUGCGAGACAGACAGGUCGAGCAGGGACGAAAGUCGGGCUUAGUGAUCCGGUGGUACCGUAUGGAAGGGCCAUCGCUCAACGGAUAAAAGCUACCCUGGGGAUAACAGGCUUAUCUCCCCCAAGAGUCCACAUCGACGGGGAGGUUUGGCACCUCGAUGUCGGCUCAUCGCAUCCUGGGGCUGUAGUCGGUCCCAAGGGUUGGGCUGUUCGCCCAUUAAAGCGGUACGCGAGCUGGGUUCAGAACGUCGUGAGACAGUUCGGUCCCUAUCCGUCGCGGGCGUAGGAAAUUUGAGAGGACCUGUCCUUAGUACGAGAGGACCGGGAUGGACAUACCUCUGGUGUACCAGUUGUGCCGCCAGGCGCAUCGCUGGGUAGCUACGUAUGGAUGUGAUAAACGCUGAAAGCAUCUAAGUGUGAAACACACCUCGAGAUGAGAUUUCCCAUUCCUUUAUGGAAGUAAGACCCCUGAAAGAUGAUCAGGUAGAUAGGUUAGAAGUGGCAGUGCGGUGACGCAUGAAGCGGACUAAUACUAAUCGGUCGAGGACUUAACCAAG